rnacentral:lncRNA from 1 species
AAGCAUCCUCGCCUGAACUAAAGCUAGAGUCUUUGAGGAUUUGGAAAAUUGAGUGCGGAUCUCUGGCAGCCAUGCCUGUUUUCAAGCAGUGCCCAGUCCUGUGUUGGAAAUGUUAACUCUUCCUGCAAAUCAGGAUGGUGAAUGCAGUCAGAUGGAGUGUGGCUGGAGGAGGGGCAGAUGUUUACUUAGAAGUCACAUCCCAGAAAGGAGAAGGCUGUGUGCAGGAAGGGGUCAUGUUGCUAGAUGCAUUUCGGGAUGAAGUGGACCACAAGGAAGCAUGAUGAAGAGGAAGCACCUUAAGGAGAGAGAUGACAGUCUGUGAUGUGACAAGCUCAAAAGGCAUGUAUCUUCCAGGGAUUAUGGAAGGCCUAUGUGUAGAGGGAGUCCAGCUCGUCAUUAGAUAGUGAGUUUUACCUACUUAGUAUAAGAAAGUUGAUGGUUUUCUCUUUCAUUCUUUUCUUUACUGUCUCCUCCUUCUCUUUUUGAAACCUGCCU